CUCUCCUCCUGUUCUCUCUGUGUUGUCAUUUGUUGGGUCAGUCUGUGUUGUGGUUCUACUGGUGUUACUGGUUCUGCUGGUGAGACGAUGUGUUCACAGGACACCUGACGAUCAAGAACCAACUGGAGAAGAUGACAUCACGUAUAAUGAUAUUAAAAUGUCAAAUUGUCAGCAAGUCAGACAAAACAGAGACAGUGAUCCAGCUGUAGUCUACUCAGCAAUGAGAACAGGGGACGUCAGUUAUGGAGAAAUCGUCAUCAAAGAGAGGAAAAACGAAUCAAAGAUGAGGUACAGCUGCUCUUCUCUGUCUCCUUAACUGUUACAUCUACAGCCAAACAAA